CCUGUGGGCGCGUCGUCUGGUCCUUCUACGUCGCUGACUCGUGACCUGACCGAUACCUUCCGAUACUCCUCCAAAGAACUCUUGGAUUCAAGUAAACAAAUAUCCAUUAAUACAAGUUAAGUAUGUUCCAGGCGCUGUGUGUUCCAGGUACCGUUAACAAAAGCGGGUUACUACUGUUAAGACUUCCUUCAUGCCCUGGCGCCUCUGCUCAGCCAGUUCCCUUCGCCUAGGAGGACCUCUCUACACCACUCCGCUAUAUUCCCUCCCCGGAAUUCCUUCCCAACCUUCAAGGACCAUCUGCCCCAACUAGUGGCGAACAUCGAGGCUGUCGUGACUGUGUAGAUACUUAUUUGACCUGCUCCCUUGGCAAACACUUGAAACGCAAUACAUGUUUGUGGAACUGAACAUAGCCUGUGCAUGCAGCAAGGCUUCUUUCCCUGGAAUCGCUAGCCCUUCCUCCAACACAGCGACCAGCCGGCGAGAAUCCCAACUCCUCGACUCCGGAAAUGAUUUGGGAGACUGAACUUCCGAACGUCGCAAUCAUAGAUUUGGGCGGGCUAGGAGGGUUUGGGUCUUCAGGUCACAUCUGCACGGAGAGACCUCCGGCCUCCGUUGGUCGGUGCUUCCGCUCCGGAUACCCUUCCGGAUCUCAGGUUUUACACAUCCAUAAGUAGACCUUUUUGGAGCCUCACCAGCCAAUUCAAUGGCGUCCUCUUCUACUGUGCCUCUGGGAUUUCACUAUGAAACAAAGUAUGUUGUUCUCAGCUACUUGGGACUCCUCUCUCAAGAGAAGCUGCAAGAGCAACAUCUUUCCUCACCCCAAGGGGUUCAACUAGAUAAAGCUUCACAAUCUCUGGAUCAAGAAAUUUUAUUAAAAGUUAAAACUGAAAUUGAAGAAGAGCUAAAAUCUCUGGACAAAGAAAUUUCUGAAGGCCAGUGACAUAUCAGGCAUUUCGGGAAUGUACACUGGAGACCACAGUUCAUGCCAGCGGCUGGAAUAA
rnacentral:sRNA from 1 species